GCUGAUCGUAACCAUUCAAGUCAACGUGUCAAUUUCCACCGACUUCUUUCCGUUCCUCUGCUGAUCGCCGGACUCCUCAGCUGAUCACAAGAGUUCUAUUUUUUCUGGACACCGGAGCAUGGCGGAUAAAUUCAGCACAGAUUAACCCGUGCUGGAAAGGAAGUCGGGCACAGACACAAAAUAACAUCCUGACCUACAACACUUUUUUCCUCAGGUUGGAAACAAGCGUGCUCACCUCUAGACUUUAAAAGUUACCUGAACAUUUUGUCACUUUUUAUUUCAUCCAUCUAUCACUUCUUACUUUACAAAAUUGUGAUGGGUCAGUCCAAUUCACCGCAGCAGUCCACAGGAGCUCGUUCUUGAAUGUCGCCCCCUGAUUUCCUUCCUCUCUCCAUGAUCCUCUCUCUUCUGAACAGCUUGCAGAUGCUUCCUGUUCUGGUGGAUUUCUAACUUCUGUCUUUCUUUCUGUCUUUCUUGCCAGGAUUACUUGGAUUGGGUCGGCUUGUUCAGAAGAGAUUCACACCUCAAAAAUGUAAAAGCAGGAAACUUCUUGUGAAAUGCACGGCUGUGUCAUUACUAAAUAAAAGCAGAAAGGAGAGGGUUCAUCCUCUCUCUGUAUUUUCUCUCAGUUAACUGUAAAUGAAGACAGAGCUCCCAUCUCCUCCAGAUGCUCUCCUGUUAUAAGACUGGAAACAGCAUUUUUCUUGGACAUGUUUCAUUUUCCAGGUCCGGGUCUGUCUGACUCCCGGGUCUCUGUCAUGAUCUCUGGCUCUGGGUGUCACCAACAGAUGGCGCAUCAUCAACAAACCUUUAUUGACUCUGCUGGAGAUCAGAAGUCACACCU